CAUUCCGAGAAGUUGUUUAUCAACUAGACAAGUCGAUAACUCGGCGCAUGCGCAUAUCCAUAAUACAGUUGACUAGCCCGCGUUAUACUCUUGUAAAGGCAAGUCUGAUCUUAUCCUGUCGGUCAUAUGUUAGUCUUGUGAUGCCCGUACGUCUGAUCGCACUCAGGCACGAAUCAAACAAAGACGCGUUCUGAACGACUUCAUCAACAACAUCGUCAAAAUUAACAAAAGAUGCAGCGGCGGGUCUAUAUGACAACAUUACUGACAACGAAGUCCUAAGUUCUUACAAUGUCCACAAGAAUUUCACGCCUGAUUUUGCAAACGUUUCAGUGGUAAUAAACGUAUUCUUUCUUGAUUAUUGA